CACGGGGUCAGUCACAAGUCUACAAUGUACAGGAAGAACAAAUUCUCAAAAACAGGUUCGGACAAUGAGAGGCUCCAUGUCUAUUUCAAACCAUCUCCCCGAAAACGGUUUGAACUCUAGUUUUCAAUACAGACCCCAACAUUCCGUCAUGACACCUGGUGCCAUACAGUCGAGGCAUCCAUCAGUUGACGUUCAAAAACGCAUCCUUUGCUGUGAUGACAACCCAAUGUUUUUGGAGGAAAUGGUCUCUCUCACUGUUGCCAGAGUUCACCACCCAGGCCUCUAAAGUAACCCAUUGUGUCACGUCCGGACCUUAGUUCCUUUUUUAUGUCUCUAUUUUAGUUUGGUCAGGGCGUGAGUUGGGGUGGGUAGGUGGGUAUUCUAUGUUUGUUCUGUGUGUUAUAGUUCUAUGUUUUUUUCCUGGUAUGGCUCCCAAUCAGAGGCAGCUGGCAAUCGUUGUCUCUGAUUGAGAACCAUACUUAGGCAGCCUGUUUUCCCACUAUGGGUUGUGGGCAGUGGUUUUUUGUCUCUGUGUCUGCACCAGACAGAACUGUUUCAUGUUGGUCUAUUUUUGUUAUUUUGUCUUAGUGGUCUGA